GUUUCUCAAACCUGUAGAGAGCUUCUAGGAGUCUCAUGUCCUCUCCCUAUCCCCUCUUAAGAUUUGUUUGAAGGGUAAUGGACAAAGAGAAGUGGGGACCCUGCUUGGGCUGACUCAUGCCUGUUCUCUCCUCUCUUCCUGCUUCCUCCUGCUUCCCUUCUGGGUGGAAAGAGCUCCUCUUAAUGUCAGAUCACCCUCUUUUCGUACUUGAUGGAAGGUUUCUGCUGAUUAAUUUACGUGUUGCUGUUCUAUGACUUUCUUUGGUCUAGGUGGAAUGAACUUCACCCUUGCUUGGGAAUCAACAUGGGAAAUACAAUAGGGUGCAUUUGAGAAACAGUAUCCCCGAUGUCUACGAAAGGCCAGGCAGGUGCCAAUCACUUUGAUUCGAUUCUCCUAACAACCCUGUCCACAAACUCAGUUUACAGCUGACACAACGCAGGCAGAGAGACGGAAUGAUUUGUCUGAGGUCAUACGGAAUGAUUAGUGCUGCAGAACCGUGAUUUAGACCCAGACCUCCCAGACUGCAAAAUGUAAGGACUUCCCACUAGCAGUAAUCCUCACAGGUCUAAAAUAUCUACUACAUCUGUCACAUAUGUACCACACAAGUGUGCUUUUGAUGAGACUACCAUAUAUUCCUGUAUUUCAUAGAGCAUAACUCAGAGGGAAAGAAGAACCUUGCAAUAUUUCAAGAUUAUUGUAAUAUGUUCAUAUUUAAUGAAGUAUGCAUAAUAUUUAUGUAGUAUUUUAACUCGAAGAGUUUUGUACCUCAGUCUUAUCAUCGUCCGGCUUAUUUACUCUCCCCCACCUCUGUGUGGCCCCAUUGAUGUGGUGAGUCUCUGCUGGCCAUUGGUUGGGUCUGUUGUUAGUAGUCCCAGGUAUGGGUUGGCAGAGCGGGAGCCUCACAUCCUGUUCCCCCAUGACCUGUGUCGUGUUCUACUCCCAUGGUAAGCUCCCGUGUCUCCAUGACAGGCUGGCCGAGAGAAGCUACUUGCAGACGGCCACGGCCAGCACUCAGAAGUGGAGAACAUUGUUUUGGAGUCAAAGAGACGGGCCCCAGAGGCAGGCAGGAAGAGUAUCAGACUUAGCAACAUUGCCAGCUUCCACAAACCAGCUGAUGACCCAUGUGAGCCCAGAAUGGAAAAGACUGUCACAUGUUGGGUGCCUGGCCUGGACCUCACAUCAGGUGGUAUCGAUCCCAGAUUCGUCUCCCGAGGCCCUUCCAAUGCGCUUACCUACCUGGAGCCUCUCGCUGGGACAGGCACAAAGAACAGGACCUAAGAAUUCCAUUUCUAAGAGUGAGUAUAGUAAGCAGGGGUAGAAAAAUAUAUGCACAUCACCUUGAGUGGAACCCGGUAGGGCUUGGUGUGAGGCCCAUCUUACAAGGUUCUAGUGAAAUAAAAAAACAUGACAACAUAGGACA
rnacentral:lncRNA from 1 species